rnacentral:tRNA from 1 species
UUAAGGAAAUCUAAAUGAGCAGAAUACCACUGUUAAUGGUAGUUAGAAAUACUUAAAUUUCUCCUUAAU